rnacentral:tRNA from 1 species
GCCCUUGUAGCUCAAUGGACAGAGCAGCAGCCUUCUAAGCUGUUGGUUGCAGGUUCGAAUCCUGUCAAGGGCGCCU